rnacentral:lncRNA from 1 species
CCAAGGGCAUGGCAGCAGCAUCUGGUGGGGUUCUGUGCUACAUUACCCCAUGGUGGAAGGGCAGAGGGCAGAGGGCAGAAGAGGAAAGGCAGAAGAGAAAGACAGCAUGGGAGACAGCAAGAAAAUGGAGGCCAAAACUUAUCCUUUUAUCAGGAAUCCACUCCCACGGAAUCUCAUCGACUGAAGAAGAUUGACUCCUAUCACAGGAGAGGAGAGUAGAGCAUGUUUGUAAACAAUGCCAUCAGGAAUAAAAGUGUUUGAAGCUGAAGCUGGGUCUUCCAUCCAAAUGUGGAAAGCGUGCCAGAGGACUGUCUUUCCCAUUCCCGCCCCACCUGCACAGCCAUAGACAAAGCUCAGCUCCGGGAUAAGAGGAAAAAGCACUGCCUGGACCUGUCCACCAGCAAGCGGACAUUGCUUUGCAUAAACAGGCAGAGGGGCAGGCACCUCAAGGGACUCGCAGAAGUGCCUGGGUAUUUUUAAAUACUUGAGGAGAACACAAGGAUGCCUGUCGGACAUCUCAGGAACUGCUAGCUCCAGCAAAAUUCACUGCAGGAUAGGCCAGGUGAUGCUGUGGUGACAAACAACUUCCCAAAUUGCUGCAAUUCACAUACAAAGUUUCCUGCUCACUCACGUAAUAUGCCGUCCAAGAUCUGCAGGGAUUCUGCUUCAAGCUGUCUGCAUUCUUACUCUGGGACUCUGAGAUGUGGGUUGAUGGAACAGCUACCAUCUGAAACAUUGUCAGUGAUGAUGACACAGGAAAGAGUGUGAAGCAAAGGUUCUCCUGGCCCUCAAAGCCUUCACCUAUAAGUGAUACUCUUUCCUGCUUGCAUUUCGUUACCCAUAUGAGAUAUAUGAAUAAGCCAAAUUGCAAAGAGGUCUUGGGUGUUGGAGAACAAUAGCACAGCCAGCCCAGCACACACACCCUGUUACACAUUGUAUUCUGUGCUUCACACUGGAGCUAGAGCCAGACUUGGUCUUACCUCCACAGGUCUACAGUCUAGUGAAAAUACAAACAAGAGACCCCUCUGUGCUGAGAUUCCCUGCCUGCCUGGUGGGUGGGCAGAGCCAGCAGAAGGAUGUCACUAUGACAAGUAGCCCAGCCCAGGAAACCUCUUUGUCCCCACUGGCCUGAGAUUCCCAUCCUACUCCAAGAGACACUCCAUAGCCCAACCUGGGAGAACCUGUUCCGUCCCUCAAACAGCACCAGCAGGGAGUGGGAUUCCCAGCCCUCAUAGAUAAACAAAGACCAAAGUCUCUGAAAUAUAACUGAUUUAAAACCACAGCCCACAAAAGUAAUCCAGGACCUGAGUGCUUAACCUAAACAGAGUGACUGCCAGCUAAAAUAAAAAAAAGAAAUUAAAAAAAAUUAACAGACUCCAGAGUUUCUUAAUAUAAUAGACAAAAUGUUCCGGAUACAAUAAAAUAUCACCCAUUUUGCCAAGAACCAAGAAAAUCACAAUUUGGAUAAGAAAAGACAGUCAACUGACAGCAACACUGAGAUGAGCAAGAUUUGGAAUUAUCUGAUGAAGAUUUUAAAACAGUUGUAAUAAAAAUGCUUCAACAAUCAAUUAUAAAUUCGGUUAAACAAAUAAAAACAAUUUUAAAAAUCUCAGCAAAGAAACAGAAGUUACACAAAAGGACCAAAUGGAAAUUAGAGAACUAAGAAAUACAAUAACAGAAACUUAAAAAAAAGACAACUUCCUAGAUGGGUUUAAUUGUAGAAUGGAGAUGACAGAGGAUAGAAUCGCUGAACUUGAGGAUAUAAUUUGCCUAAUUUGAGUAACCAAUCUGAACAAUCAGAAAAUAUCCUUAAUAAAUAUUAAGGAUAUUCUCAGGGACCUAUGGAACUGUAAAAUAGAUCUAACAUUUCUGUCAUCAGAGUCUCAGAUGAAGAGGAGAAAAGAGAGUGGGGCUGAAAGAAGGAGUAGACUGAAAACUUCUGAAGUUUGGCAACACACACAAUCCUAUGGAUUCAAGAAUCUGAGUGAAUCCCAAAUAUGAUAAGCCCAAGAAAUCCAUACCAAAGACAAAGAAAAAACAUUUUGAAAGAAACUAGAGAAAAAUGACAAAUCACCCAUAGGGGAAGAAUGAUGGAAAUGACAGUAGAUUUCUUAUCUGAAACAGUGGAACCCAGAAGAAAAUGGCACAACAUUUUUCGUGUAUUUGAAGUGAAAAGAAAAUUCAACCACAGAUUUUAUGUCUGGGAACACUAUCCUUCAGGAAUGAAGAGAAAAUAAAGACAUUCUCAAAUGAAAGAAAAAUUUGUGCCUAGGAGACUUAUCCUUAAAGAUUGGAUAAUUUAUCAAACAGCAAGGAACUGUAAGAGGGAAUCCUGAAGCAUCAGAAAAGAAGAAGAAACAACAGAAAUGAAAAUAUGGAAGCCGGGCAUGGUGGCACACGCCUGUGGUCUCAGCUACUCACAAGGCUGAGGCAGGUCAAGGCUGCGGUGAGCUAUGAUUGCACCACUGGACUCCAGCCUGGGUGACAGAACAGGACUGUGUCUAAAAAAAUUUUUUUAAAGAAAUAAAAAUAUGAGUACAUGCAGGCAAGGCCUCUUUCUGAUAUGGAUGCUGUCACACCAAGAACAUGACAUAGUCCCUUGUGAGGAGGAAGCCUGCGGUGGGGGGCAUAAGCUCCAGACAGCUGCAGUGCAAAGGCCUGAGGCAGAAAAGGGCUCUGCACAUCAGGAAGCUAUACGGAAGCCGGGACCCUAAGGCAGCAGACAGCAAGGAACAGGACAGGGCUGCACGUGACCAGGGGGCAGGAACGGGGCUCUGC